AUGCCAAAAAAGUCGAAGUACAUGAAGGGGCUUCAACAGAGGAACAUUGGGUGCCACCACCUCGGAAGCCGUGGUUACGGCGGGAAGAGGUCCAUAUGGGCCAAGCAGGACGCGAAAGCCGCGAGUCUGGGCAUCCCAGACCCCUUGGCGGAGUUCACCGUCCCGCAGGAGCGUGACGUCCUCAGGGCCCGACACCAUUGGGACCCAGUUAAGAAGGUUUUCGAGACGAACGCGCUCACGACGGAGUUCAUGAGACUUCUGGUAAUUUUAGUUUCUGGUCAAUUCGACUACACGUUAGUCAUGCAAAUUUGUAAACAAUUAUUGUUCCUUUUGCAGAGAGAGCAGCACAGGAUUGCGGCCGAAAGCGACUCGCCGUCUGCGGCAUUCGCGAGGCCCAAGUGGGACACUCCAUUUAACCGGGCGUUGAACAUAUUGAAACGACUCCCGGUGGAUACUCGACCGUCGUAUGGACGCGUGCACGGUGUCGGAGACGGCGCCACGUGGAAGAAGUACUACAGUGAGACCACGGAGGAGAGAAAGGAAAGACAGAGGUUAACCAAAGAAAACAUCGACAAGAAGGUUGAGAUUGCGGUUGAGAAGAAAUCAACUCAAACAGUCGCAACAGUGGUAGCUACCGCAAAACAGAUGGUUGUAGAUAUGUCUACUUCCUUGGUUCCGACCAUUUUCAAUUGGACCAGACAAAAUCCAGAAAAAAAUGCAGCGCACUUUCCCCUUGCUGACUUCUUGGGGAGCAGCUCGACUAGCGUUGCACCAGCACCUGCAGCUGCACCUGCUCCUGCACCUGCUCCCGCACCGGACAUGCUCGGCGGUGCUUCGUCUUUGGCUGAGCUCGAUGCCCUCACGGUAUCUGUCACACCGGCCCCCUUCAGUAAAUGUAUAAUCUCCCGUUUUCGUUGCCUUUCGGAUGUCUCAUGUCGCAGACUUUUCUUUACAGGCCGACGAAACCCCGUGCACCAUAUUGUACACCAUCGACAACUAGAAGAAGGACGUGGGCAAGGCGACGAUAAUGAAGUCGAAGGAGCCAUUGUUCCAUAG
rnacentral:rRNA from 1 species